AGACUGAAUCUCACUCUGUCGCCCGGGCUAGAGUGCAGUGGCAUAAUCUUGGCUCACUGCAACUUCCACCUUUCAGGUUCAAGCAGUUCUCCUGCCUCAGCUUCCUGAGUAGCUGGGACUACAGGUGCCUGCCACCACACCUGGCUGAUUUUUGUCUUUUUGGUAGAGAUGGGGUUUCACUGCGUUGGUCACGCUGGUCUCGAACUUUUGACCUCAGGUCAUCCACCCGUCUCAGCCUCCCAAAGUUCUGGGAGUACAGGCGUGAGCCACCAUGCCCAGCCUGAAUCCCCCUUCUCAAAAGUAACUUCCAUUCACUUUGUCCCUGGCAGUCUGCUGGUGACCAUGAUUUCUAAGGCUCACUCAUGGGACCAAAGGCAAGAAGAAAGGGAGGAGGGUGGUAACCAGAUAAACUUUGCAACCCCUUUGAUAGGACUUUUUGGGUGAGAAUUUUUAUGAAAAGUAAUAUAUACUUCUACUAUAGAUCUGCCUCUAGUUUCAACCUCUAGUUUUAGCACUGAUUUUUUCCCCUUAAUUUCCAGAAGCAUGAUAUAAUAUCUUUUUCAAAGAAAGUGGGAAGAAUGUCCACAGAUGUUAGGAGAAGACAAUUAUGUAGGAAAAAUAUUUUCUCAAAUUAAAAUUUAAAACAAAAGUUUGCAGGGAAUGGAGUGGGGUUCAGCAUUAGGGAGGUAGGAGAUGAUAAAAAUACAUAUUAAGUAAUUUGUACCCUGAUAUGCUUUGUAUGUAGAUUGCUUACAACUAACAUGAAAUGAGCAUUUCAUUCCUUAAGCAUGCUGUUGGGGGAAAAUGGGAGCCAGGCUGGAUGCACAAAUUUACACCAGAUGCUCUGUAUCCAGGUAGCAGAAAUGACUAACAGCACUGGUAUCCAUCAGUCCCAGAGCAAAAGCGUCUCCAGAGGAGGACAUCUGUAAAUCCCAAAUCUGAUCUCCUUCAUCAUCAUUAGGCAACAGAUAGGAUAAGACUUCAUGAAGAGAAUUUUGGUGGCUUUAGAUUGUUGAGAAAGUAUAUAUAGGAAAAAACUGGAAAUUAUGUCCAAGAUUUUUUGUCUAACUCCUUAUCCUGAUAUUGUUAACAUUUCACAACUAAAAUAAUUUUAACAGACAAUUAGUUUUUAAAAAUGUAUUUUCAUGACCUGAGACUACAGAAAUUGCCAUUUUCUUAGGACGUAGUUUACAUUUGACUCUGCUUACUGUGUCCAGGGCAUCCCCAAAUUGGGAGAGAUUGCCAAGUCAGUUGCCAUUUUGCCUUACUUUUACCAAGGACUAGCCUACAGGUUCAGUUUUGCUCUUGACUUUGGCCCUGAAUUGAGAACUGAGUCAAGAGAACAGAGUGGAAGUAUGGAGACAAAGCCAGCAGCUUUACUCAAAAAAUAUAUAUGAGUCUAGUAUUUUUUUUGUUUUUGAAAGACAUGUUACUGAGCCCAACCCAGUCAGGGAUCACUGAAUAUUGGGUUAAAUAAAACAAUAAUGUUAUUCAUGUGUUUGAAAUUAAUGUUUUAAAGAACCACGCACACACUUUAAAAUGUAACUGGAUUUGCUAUAUAGGCCAGAGAAAUAUGGCUGUUACGAUGAAGGCGUAACUUCUCUGGUUCUUGAUUAUUUACACCAUUAGAGAAGAAUGCAAAUAUGAAUAGCUCAGAGUAGUUUAACUUUGAAGUGAGAGUUUAUAUGCACCUUUAUAUGUGGGAUAACUGAUGUCUUUGGAAUAGACUUCAAAUGAAUGAUAAAAACACCUGUAAAGUGAUAGGACCUCUACUUUUUCUCAUGUCCAAUGUUCAGUUUCUUAUAAACCAGGCAUGAAGAGAAACAAAAAGUAAUUAAUUCUCCAGAUCAUGAAGUUGUCUUCAACCUAAGCACAGAGGUAUAAUAAUUACAUUUCUCAGAAGUUCCCCCUCUGUUUUGAGUCUCAAGGGCAAUUGAGAUGUCAGUGAGGCUGUGAUUAAAUGUAUUGGAUAUUAGAGGAUUUUAAAUACAAACAAGUAUUAUAGGUGUUACCACUGACCCCGAAGGUAAGAUUUACUGUGAAAAUUUAUAAUGCAAGGAAGAAUGAUCAAGUUGGCUGUCAGAACAACAAAAUAUUACAAACCAGGAUGUCUAAGAGCAGAAGUCCGUGGUUGCCACCUCUCAAGCCUCUUAGCUUAAUCCAAUCUAGGAUGCAUUUCCACUCUGCAACAAACAGUAUUUAUUUUUGCCUUAUUUGCAGAUAACAGUUUUAAUGCAGGUACUGCCCAUGGAUUAGCUUUGAGCAGUGUCUUUUUGCUUUGGUUUUUUUAUUUGUUUGGUUUGUUUUGAGACUGAGUCUCAGUCCUCCAGGCUGGAGUGCAGUGGUGUGACUUUGGCUCACUGCAACCUCUGCCUCCCGGGUUCAAGCGAGUCUCCUGCCUCAGCCUCCCAAGUAGCUGAGUCUACAGGCGUGAGCCACCAUCCCCGGCCAAGCAGUAUCUUUUUGCUUUGAAAGUGACUUACAUGUACAUUUGUUUUCCUUGUGAAUGUUUCUUUUUAACUGCAAACUAAGAAACAUUGAGCCCAGCAUUCAUAUAUUUGCAAACUCUGUCUUACUUAAUUUCUCAGUUUUUUUCCUCAGAAAAAAUGAAAUUCCUUUUCUUUUUUAAAUUUAUUUUUUCUUUAUUUUUCUUUAUAAAGUGAAGAGUAGGUAGCAUGAAUUCCUCUUGCCCUUUGCUAUUUCAGUCUGGCAUCAGUAGCAAUUGUUGCUAUGUCCAGUUUUCAUUCAUGGAUUUUUCUGGGAUUGAAGAUGAGUUCAAUGUUGAUUAUUUAAUUGGGCAGUAUAAGUAAAUUCAUUGGCUCUCCUUCCAGUUUAGUGAAUACUAAAUAUCAUCCAUGAUAUUUUAUACUUCUUACACUUCUGGAAUCUAACCUGAAAAUAGAAGUUGUAAGUCAGGGACGGUGGUAUGUGCCUCUAGUCUCAGCUAGUUGGGAGGCUGAGGCUUGAGCCCAGGCCUUCAAGGCUGUAGUGCACAAUGACUGUACUUGUGAAUAGCCACUGCACUCCAGCCUGGGCAACAUAGCAAGACUCCCACCCCUUAAGAAAAAAGAAGAGAGAAAAAAAUAGAAGUUGUGGAGAGGGAGGAGGAUGCUUGAAUACUUUGACCGUACUUGGCAUAAUAGACAUUUUGAGGGUUUUUUUGUUUUCUUAAAAUUCCUCUGGAUCAGUUUUCAUUGUUUCUAGUAAUUAUAUUUAUCGUUAAUGAAUUCAUAUUCUGCUCUAGCCCCUAAAGAUAGUUUGAUAUGCUAACUUUUGUUUUGCCUUUCUAGCUGCUAAGAUAGAUAAUGGUUAUUGCAAAAUGCACGUUUUUAAAUGGUCUCCAGUGUGGAUUGCUUCUGAGCUGCUGAUGGAUUGAAUACAUUGAGAAGGAAUGUGUCAUUUGGAAUCCAGGACCAGUCAGCAAGGAUAACUGCCUGAUUUUAUGAUUUCGUGACUGAUGCUGAAAUGGAAGCCAACCACUGCAGAAAUUUGGGGGAAAAUGAGAUCUGAAGAAUACAAGGGGAAGUAGGAAUUCAUUUCUAGCAUUUCCAAACCUGCUUAAUCGUGUCUGCUCCACCACAGUCAGAGGAAAAGACUGAGUUCAUGGAAAUUACCAGCUAAGCCUUACAUCUGUCUUUAAUGUUUUUAGGAAGUAUACUGAAAAGGUAAGUGAGAUGUCUGUUUUGAAGAAAGACUCUUACUGGGUACCUUAAAACCCGUUGUUUCCUAUUAGUAAAGAUGGGCAGCUUCUUUAUUCCUAGCUUCAAAAAGCCUUGCCCCUGUUUGGUGUGUUUCUCAGUAUUGUGGAGAAGGUAGUUUCUGAGCAAGGUGGUGCUUUUCCUCUGCUUCUCAGCAGCUAAGACAGAAAUUGCACCGAAGUGUACAAAGGGCCAAUUUUUGUUGUCCUGUUGUGCUCAAAUCCUUUUUUUUAAAAAAGUUAUUUCAAUCAAGUCUUAGUUUUAUUCCUCACUAUAUAGGAAAAAAAUCUUUAAUGCCUCAAAAGUUCCAUUCAGCAUUACAUUUGCAUUACUCUUAUUUGCAGCAAAUAUGAGUAAAAUUAUAGGUUUUUAAAGGUCUCUAAUAACAUCCACUUAUAUUGGUUUUGUAGAUAAUCCAUAAAUUACCAGAAAUAAAUUAUUCCACAUUUAUUACACACCCAUGUAAUAGAUGUCGUGCCAGGCCCUGGAAUAUACUAAUGGCAUCACCUCAUGUGGUAAAAAGACACAUUCCGCCAUCCUGGAGUAUACAAAGGUAGACUAGCAUAUAGUUCAUGUGCUCAAGGAGUUCAUUUUUAUUGACAUGAUACAGAUAGAAUUGUAGUUUAGGGAAUCAAAAUCUAAUAAAAUGAGGCUAAUUCCAUUUUCCCAUUAACACUAAUAACUAGUGUGUAAAUCUGAAUAUGACACAUUCUAUAUGAAAGAAGCUCUGUGUGCAUCUACACUAAAUACUCGUGUGUGCCAGGUACUGUUUUAAACUACGUAUAUUUUUUUAAUUCUCAUAACUGUUCUCUGAGGUAUGUACUAAUACUAAAGCUUAUUGUUAAAGGAAGGCAGAAAAAUUAAGUAACUUGGCCUAAGUUUGCAUAACUGUGAUCUGGGAUCAAUAUUUGAACCCAUACAGGCUGAUUGCAGAGCCUGCACUCUUAAUUUGAGUGUGAUAUUUAUGUGCAGUACCUGGCUAUAAGUACCCACAAAACGUUUCAAAUUCUUUAUAAAAUUUGCUUAGUUAAAAAAGUACCAAUUGCAUAAUAUGGUUAUAAGUCUGGUAGAAGUUAGGCUUUUUACAAGACAUGCUGCUUACUGCACCAAGGAGGCAAGAAGGCUUUUUAGAGAGCCCAGAAUUUCCUUUCCUCAACUCCUGCUUCCAAGACAGUCAUUUUGCAUGAUAACCGUUUCCCCAAAAAACACAGACACAAAAUUUAAAGAACUGGAACAGAGGAAGCAGAGCUUAUCAUAGUAUAUAUGUUUAGUACCCUGUCACUUAGGUCCACCCCUCUUUCUUUGUGGAUUGUGGACAUUUUGUUUAACUGCUAAAUCAUGAGAAUAUAUGACUGCUGAGACUUUUCCAAGGAUUUUUUAAAAAACACAUUAGGCUUUGUGCAGAAGUAAAGAAAAAGUGCUGUGAGAACCCCAGGUAGGUAAUUUACUUUCUAUUGUACUCAUAGUUUGUUUGAAACCUCUUCACCUCUAUCCCUUAUUGUUUUAUACUCUGUAAAUCUGAUUUUACC
rnacentral:lncRNA from 1 species